ACUUUAUAUGUGUAAUUGUGAUGAGGAUGGAUAGCAAGGAAAUCUCUCCCACAUGACCCUCACGGCCUCCGUGUCACCUGUCCUCUAGGUGGGACGCUCG
ensembl:miRNA